rnacentral:rRNA from 1 species
AUUGAACGCUGGCGGCAGGCCUAACACAUGCAAGUCGAGCGGAUGAAGAGAGCUUGCUCUCUGAUUCAGCGGCGGACGGGUGAGUAAUGCCUAGGGAUCUGCCUGGUAGUGGGGGACAACGGUUCGAAAGGAACGCUAAUACCGCAUACGUCCUACGGGAGAAAGCAGGGGACCUUCGGGCCUGGCGCUAUCAGAUGAGCCUAGGUCGGAUUAGCUAGUUGGUGAGGUAAUGGCUCACCAAGGCGACGAGCCGUAACUGGUCUGAGAGGAUGAUCAGUCACACUGGAACUGAGACACGGUCCAGACUCCUACGGGAGGCAGCAGUGGGGAAUAUUGGACAAUGGGCGAAAGCCUGAUCCAGCCAUGCCGCGUGUGUGAAGAAGGUCUUCGGAUUGUAAAGCACUUUAAGUUGGGAGGAAGGGCAGUAAGUUAAUACCUUGCUGUUUUGACGUUACCGACAGAAUAAGCACCGGCUAACUCUGUGCCAGCAGCCGCCGUAACAC